CUACGGGAUGCUCCAGCAGGGAAUAUUGCACAAUGGACGGAAGUCUGAUGCAGCGACGCCGCGUGGAUGAUGAAGGCCCUCGGGUUGUAAAAUCCUUUUCAGGGGGACGAGGCAGGACGGUACCCUUGGAAUAAGCGUCGGCUAACUACGUGCCAGCAGCCGCGGUAAGACGUAGGACGCAAGCGUUAUCCGGAUUUACUGGGCGUAAAGCGUCUGUAGGCGGACCGUAAAGUUGGGCGUGAAAGCUCCGGGCUCAACCCGGAGAGGACGUUCAAUACUGGCGGACUAGAGGACAUCAGAGGAGCGUGGAAUUUCCGGUGUAGCGGUAAAAUGCGCAGAUAUCGGAAGGAACACCAAUGGCGAAGGCAGCGCUCUGGGAUGUACCUGACGCUAAGAGACGAAAGCUAGGGGAGCGAACAGGAUUAGAUACCCUAGUAGUC
rnacentral:rRNA from 1 species